rnacentral:rRNA from 1 species
UACGUAGGGGGCAAGCGUUGUCCGGAUUCAUUGGGCGUAAAGCGCGGGCAGGCGGCCCGUUAAGUCGGCCGUGAAAGCGCCGGGCUCAACUCGGCGAGGACGGGCGAGACUGACGGGCUCGAGGUUGGCAGAGGGCGGUGGAAUUCCGGGUGUAGUGGUGGAAUGCGUAGAGCUCCGGAGGAACACCAGUGGCGAAGGCGGCCGCCUGGGCCAAUACUGACGCUGAGCCGCGAAAGCGUGGGGAGCGAACAGG